GUUCCGCUCCGCGCCGUUUUCCCGGUACUUCCCGCGGAGCCCGCCUCGCUGUGCGUCCCCGCCCGGGCGUUUCUUCCGCGGCGCUGAGCGCCCGCCCCGGCCUCGGGCAAGGGCAGCCGGACGCCCCGAGGACCAGGGCGCUGGGGCCGAGGCGCGUCCUCCGCAGUCGCCGCGCCUGGGCCCCGUUUCCCCGCGGGUCCUCGCCGGGGUGGGAGGCGCCUCUUGGCGUCCGUGGGGAGCUGGGUGUGGGGGGCGGCAGGGCAGGAGGUGGGGGGGCUGAGCCGGAGAAACGUCCUCGCCCCGCCCGAGACCUCAGACACCCCAGAACCUCGGGCCGGCAGCCAGCUGCAGGAAUCGCGCCCUAAAGCCUGGGGUCCGCGCCCGCCCGCCUCCCGCGAGCGCCAGGGGCUGCCGGGUCACCGGGAUGCAGCCUCGAGGCGACGUCACAGACCCCACGCGGCCCCCCGAGCACCCCCGGAGCCGGCGCGGGGACAGGGGUUCGGGAUGGACGGAACCCACGCAGGGAACGUUCCGGGCCGUCUACGCCAGGCUCAGGGCGGCCGUCAGCUGGGGUUGGAGUUCCUGCCAACCCUGUGAAGAAAAAAAGCAGCUCAUCUCUCACGCCCCGCCUCUUGACACACGCUGAUCCGGCCUGGUUCUGGGUUUUCCCGGAGCCUGCAGGGCAGCCCCGCCCCAGGCGGCAGCAGCUGGGCCUGCAGCGUGUCCCUCAUGGUGCCCGGCCUCCAGGUCCAGAGUUUCCUGCCUCCCUGAGCUCGGGGUGCGCUGUCUCCACCCUCUCAUGGCCGUCAGGGUGCUGGUCCCGUCAGAAGUGCACCCAGGGGCUCGCAUUUAUAAAUAACUCCAGGGUGUCUUGCUGUGGGUUUGGAAAUCGGGAAGGCAGGUUAUCAUCUGCUUGGAAUGAUGUCAGAUCCAGCCCCAGGAAGUCUCCCAGCACCCGGCCUUCCUGCUUGUCAUGGGCUGGGACAUCUGGAGGGGUAGGGGCGAGGGCCUUCUGUAGCUCCACAUUAGCUGGCUAAAGUGUGGGGAAAACAGUAACACACAGAAAGCAAUCAUAAUAGUAAUUAACGUCAAAACCUUGCAAGAUGUUUAGGCCUCCCAGGAGCCCUGGAGAAGCCCAGCCCUUCCACAUAACACCAGCACUCCCAGCGGCAGGGCCUCCAUCCCCCUGCUGGGGAGGGAGAUCCGGAGUCUGGGUGGAGUGUGUGGUCUCUGGCCUUCAGCAGGACUACACUCCAGGCUGAGCCUUUCCUCAGGCAGAAUUCAUACCCUUACCUCAGCCUACAACCCCAGCACACAUGUUACCUAGGGGCAAAUUAGUACUUUGCCCUCAUGUCCUCUUCACAAAGCACUGGGGUAGAAGUCCUUCUUCCAGGGACCAGCAGCACCCAGCCCCUG
rnacentral:lncRNA from 1 species